rnacentral:rRNA from 1 species
CUGUUUGUGCACUGUCGCUUCACGCAGCAGCUAUGGCAACACUUCAAAUCAUGGACCAGGGCCGACUUUCAGGAGCCAGACGACAACUUCACUUCCACAGAACACUGGUGGCUGCAGGCAAGGGCGGCGAUCCGUAAACAUGUAAGAAGGAACUUUGACACAGUGGUGAUUCUGCUGCACUGGAGGUUCUGGAAGGAGAGGAAUUCUAGGAUUUUUUACCAGUAGGUGAGUACAUCAGAGAGGGUCUCGGACUUGAUUAAAGAGGACAUCACCAUGUGGAGGGCAGCCGGAUGCAUAUUACAUCUACCAGCAUAG